AGCGAACGCUGGCGGCAGGCCUAACACAUGCAAGUCGAACGAACCUUUCGGGGUUAGUGGCGGACGGGUGAGUAACACGUGGGAACGUGCCUUUAGGUUCGGAAUAACUCAGGGAAACUUGUGCUAAUACCGAAUGUGCCCUUCGGGGGAAAGAUUAUCGCCUUUAGAGCGGCCCGGGUCUGAUUAGCUAGUUGGUUGAGGUAAUGGCUCACCAAGGCGACGAUCAGUAGCUGGUCUGAGAGGAUGAUCAGCCACAUUGGGACUGAGACACGGCCCAAACUCCUACGGGAGGCAGCAGUGGGGAAUCUUGCGCAAUGGGCGAAAGCCUGACGCAGCCAUGCCGCGUGAAUGAUGAAGGUCUUAGGAUUGUAAAAUUCUUUCACCGGGGACGAUAAUGACGGUACCCGGAGAAGAAGCCCCGGCUAACUUCGUG
rnacentral:rRNA from 1 species